rnacentral:lncRNA from 1 species
CCACAUCAAAGCUAUUCCCGCAUGCCUUGCUGGACAAUUUCUUCAAGCACCUCCCAUUGCACCUCCACUUUUCAUGUGCUGGCUUGGGCCGUAACAGGUUUGUUUCCAUUCAGCUGAAGCACCGGCUUCUCUUUCUCCAAGAACCUCUCCAAACUUCAUUGCCACGGCUAAAGCCCAACAGUGUAUAUUGGAAGCCCAAUGAUUCAACUUGUUGAGAUUCUCAGUGUGCACCUGCCAUUGCUUUUCAGUCCUUAACCUCUUUAAUGGACGUGCAGGCCCUUUCAUUCUAAAAGCCGAAAUGACAAAAUUUUUAUAUCAUGAAGCACCACCAUGAGCUAUAUGAAUGUUCAAAGAAAGUUGCAAUAUAUGUGUGGCGGCUUUUCAAUCUAGGGCAUCGUCCCUUUCUUUUUCUUUUUUCUUUUCUUUUUUUUUUCUUUUUUCUUUUCUUUUUUUUUUUCUUCUUUUUUCUUUUUUUCUUUUUUUUUUCUUUUCUUCUUUUUUUUUUCUUUCUUUUCUUUUCUUUUUUUUUCUUUUUUUUAAAUAAAAAUAAAAUACUCUAAACCUAAAUCACUAUUUGGGCCUCACAUCUUUUACCAAAAAUUGGCCCAAGAUGCAAAAGUUUGUCCAAAAAGUUUUAAACAAUUAAAAUACAAUAUAACUAAAAUUUAAAAUGUCUAAUUAGAGAGUAUUG